rnacentral:misc_RNA from 1 species
UGUGGCAGCACCAUCCCUCUCUCA